GACGAACGCUGGCGGCGUGCCUAAUACAUGCAAGUCGAACGCAGUUGGGACGGGUGAGUAACACGUGGGUAACCUCCCAUCACAGGGGAUAACACUUGGAAACAGGUGCUAAACCGAUACUGAUGGAUGGACCCGGGGUGCAUUAGCUAGUGGGGGGGGUAACGGCGCACCAAGGCCACGAUGCAUAGCUGGCCUGAGAGGAUGAUCGGCCACACUGGGACUGAGACACGGCCCAGACUCCUACGGGAGGCAGCAGUGGGGAAUCUUCGGCAAUGGGCGAAAGCCUGACCGAGCAAUGCCGCGUGAGUGAAGAAGGUCUUCGGAUCGUAAAGCUCUGUUGGUAGGGAGGCGGUAUCUAACCAGAAAGCCACGGCUAACUACGUGCCAGCAGCCGCGGUAAUUC
rnacentral:rRNA from 1 species